CAUCGCCAUGCAGUGCCGCGGCAUUGGUGAGGCCAUCUCCAAUGGAUUAGUUCUCAACAUUGGAUUAGUUAUCAUCAAUGCCGGUGCACUGCACCUA
ensembl:ncRNA mir-976 mir-976 stem loop